GUUUAGCCCCGAUAGAAGUGGAAAUCCUUUUGUGUCCGCCGCUGCGGAUACAAAAGAUUGAAACGGAUAGCGGGACUUCAG
rnacentral:sRNA from 1 species